rnacentral:lncRNA from 1 species
UAAAGAAAAUUAAAUAAAUCACGAAAUGCUCAAAUUUUUGUGUCAUGCUUCGCGAGUCGUUCUGACUUCCAUCUCUGAGGGAAAAUAUAGAUUUCUGACUACCCAUGUGGAAUGACCAUAUUAGAUACAGAUAAUGGCAAUUUGCUCAAGCACAUUUUCAGCUUACCAAACUAUAGUACGAUCUAUGACCAUAGUCGUACCAACCACUGUUGUCCUAUCAGAUAUUCUAUAGUCACGGUGGUACUUAGAAAAAGGUGACCCCUAACAGAUAUUUGUGUCACCGCUCUCAUCAGAGGGUAUGUC